rnacentral:lncRNA from 1 species
CCCCACAAGAAAUUAUGAAGCUACUGCUCCAUCCCUCUGAUACAAGCAAUGAGGAUAACCAUAUGGGAUAGGAGGUAAAUCGGAAUAUAGCUCAUCACUGAUCUUACCAGAAUAGUCCUGCCCAUGAAAGAGAGGAUGCUGGCCUACCAUCCCUGAAGAUACUCCUGAAUCCGCUGCUCUAAGGGUCUGCAUUUAGCCCGCCGUAAACGACAGUCAGUGAUCGAAACCCUGAGAUAGGUCAGCAUCUCUGACUGCUCCUGAGUCUCCAGGAUCUCCUUGAUCACCAAUCUGACUUGAGCCUUCAUCCUCAAACUGAAGAUAACUGUGGACUUCUAAAUAUUGACCAAC